rnacentral:rRNA from 1 species
UACAGGGGGGGGCAAGCGUUGUUCGGAAUUACUGGGCGUAAAGGGUCAGUAGGCGGCCAACUAAGUCCGACGUGAAAUCCCAAAGCUUAACUUUGGAACUGCGUCGGAUACUGGAUGGCUUGAAUUCGGGAGAGGGAUGCAGAAUUCCAGGUGUAGCGGUGAAAUGCGUAGAUAUCAAGAGGAACACCAGUGGCGAAGGCGAAGUCCCUGGACAAAUACCUGACACUGAGCAACGAAAGCCAAGGGAGCAAACAGG